rnacentral:lncRNA from 1 species
AGCCAUUUUUGUUUCCAGCAGCACAAACAUGAUCGGGUUGUGGAGUUUUACUAGGGAGGUGCAUUAUCUCCUGAAGGUAGCACUGUGUGCUCCUCUAACAUUCCAUAUGAUUAAGUUGAUCAUUGAAUACAUUAGAAUUGGUGGAAUUUUGAUGAUGGUCUUCCCUUUCCUCUUUGUUUGUGGGGGGUUGGGUAUCUUGAAUGACCUCAUUAUUAUUCCAGGUGGGUUCUGAUCCAACAAGCUCUUCAGAGUCAGAGAAAAGAUCAUUGAUGUCUUUGGAAAGAGCACUAUGAUGGCUUCUCUUGCUGGUUUUUUAAACUCCUUUUGAAAGUAGUCCUCUAGGAGAAAAGUCUUUGGGACCUGAUCUCCAAGGUUUUCUAGAAUUUUCUCUAGGUCCUAGUUGCAUUGUUUCAGAUUAUUGAGGUUGGAGAUUCCUUCCUAUUCUUGUUUUUUUGCCCAUUUUCCAUGAGAGAGCGUCAUUUAGUGGUUCAUGAGAGGACCCAUUGGAUUCCAGGAAAUGAAGGAGGGCCCCAUGAGGGUGACAUUGGAGGCUUGGGUUGGGAAAAAUGGGAGGUUCUGAACUAUUUAGUAUAGGAGCUGAUUAUGAUCCUGGGUGGAAAGGUGGAUACAGUCCAUAGUUGACUAUUCCUGUAGGAGGGUGUGCAUCUACAGAUGGUUCCCUAGAUGCUUGACAGAGUGGUCUAUUGCUUCCUUGACCAUAUUGGCUAGGUAGUGAGGAUCCUACAGGGUUAGGAUUACAGGCUGGUCUCCGAUGCAUGCAUUAAGAGUUAGAGGGAAGUCCUGUAGCAGUAGUUCCAGCAAAGAGGUUGGUGAGUGCUCCUGAGGAGGUAGUGCACUCACCAGAAAGAAGGGGUUCUUUGGCGUGAAUGGUUGUUGAGUAUUGUCCAUCGGUAUUUUGUGGUAACAGGAUUAAGGGGUGUUAGGUAAGUUUUUACUAUUUUUAAAAAGGGAAGAGAGGUUGGUAAGGUUUGAGUUAAAAGAUAUGACCUCCAUGGUCAUAUCAUGAGCGUUGGGGGCAGCAUUAGAGCUAUUUUCAGAGAAAUUCAGGGUGUCCAUUAAAUGGGUUGAUCCCUUCGAGGAGACAUGUGGUUUAAUUGACAUGACCUUAAGGGUCUCAUCAUCUACAGUAGUAGACUGAACAUUCUUUCCCUCAGGAAUGUUUUCUUUUAAAGCAUUAAAUCUAUUGUUAAUGGUUUGGGACCGCUUAUGGUCCACAGAGGUGCCAGGAUUGGGAUUUUGAGCCUUAUCCUUCCCUGAUUAGGAUUUUACUCCAUUUGCCUGCCUAGAUGGGUCGUUAGAUCUCUUUGGAGGCUGAGAGAGGGUAGUCGAUCUCAUGGAGUUACCAGUGGACGAGUUAGUUUGGGCAGGGUACUUACUUGACUUUGCUACCGAAUCGCGGACCUAAUCCGUGGAGUUGUUUUUCUGGGUUCUUCUUUUGGGGAAACUUACCAAUUUCCACAUAUCUUCUUCUUUGCCAGUCAUGGGCAUAGAAGUAGCAUUGAUGGUAGGUGAAGUUGCGGGUGGCGUCGUUUGUGGGGGUGGAGUGAAGGUACAGGUUUUCAGAAUAUGGCCUACCCUGCCUCAUCCCACACAUAGCAUGCCGUCUCCUUCAUAUUCAACUUGUUGCAUGUAAUCGUCGAUCGAUAUAGUUUUCAUCACAGGCUCUCCUAGUGGGAUCUGAAUGCAGAUGCGUGCGUAUCUCUCUCGAAGAGUUUAUGAGGUGCACGAAUCGAUUCUGAGUAGGGAGCCUAGAUGGUUUCCAAUUUUUUCCAAGAUCUGCUGGUCAUAGAGCUCUGUCGGUAGUUAUGGUAACCUAACCCAGAUGGCAGUGUGGAUAAUCGUUGAAGUGGAAGGCACAAAGUUUGGUUUCCAGACAAUCACAGAUAGGAAUCCCCCCACAAUGACCCACGGUCCUCCAUGUAAGGCUGUAGUCUUGGUCUCUUCCUUGUUAAGUUUCGCUGUGUAGAAACCAUGGCCCAAAUCGAUGAGAGUGAGUGGUCCUGACAGCUUCCAAAGUUCCAUAAUUUUGAAUCUGAGGAGUUAGUAUGAGAUUUUUCUUCCCAUUAGCUUCACUAUUACUGAAUUUCUCCAUGGAAGGUAGAUUCUUUCUUUUUCGAGAUCUAAUAGCUGUAUUGACUUUUUACCAGAUGGGAGUUGUUAAGCCGGAGUGAAAGUUGUGGUAUUGUAAGAUUGGUUGAGUUCUUGAGGCCGAUCAGUUAAGAUGUCCUUGAAGGAGAGCUUGUGGACUGCAGCGUCUUCCAUGGUGAUGUCGUCAUUGAGAGGCGGAUUCGGUGGAUCUGGUGGCGCCGUCGUUAGUGGGAGCCUUUUCUGUCACAAUAUAAGUCGAAAGUUAAUGUAUAUUUUUACCUAUAUAUAAUAGGUGUUAAACAAAAACAAAAGAUUUUCAAGAUGGCAAGAAUGUUUUUAAGUACUUCUAAUACAGUUGUAGAUAUUUAUGUGCAUCGAAAAGAUUAUUUAGGGCUGACGAAAAUAAAUAAUAAGACAGUAAUAAUAAUAAUGAUAUGAC